rnacentral:rRNA from 1 species
UUAUGCCCGCAGCUACCAUGCAGUCGAGCGGUAACAGGGGUAGCUUGCUACCCGCUGACGAGCGGCGGACGGGUGAGUAAUGCAUAGGAAUCUGCCCGAUAGUGGGGGAUAACCUGGGGAAACCCAGGCUAAUACCGCAUACGUCCUACGGGAGAAAGGGGGCUCCGGCUCCCGCUAUUGGAUGAGCCUAUGUCGGAUUAGCUAGUUGGUAAGGUAAUGGCUUACCAAGGCAACGAUCCGUAGCUGGUCUGAGAGGAUGAUCAGCCACAUCGGGACUGAGACACGGCCCGAACUCCUACGGGAGGCAGCAGUGGGGAAUAUUGGACAAUGGGGGCAACCCUGAUCCAGCCAUGCCGCGUGUGUGAAGAAGGCCCUCGGGUUGUAAAGCACUUUCAGCGAGGAAGAACGCCUAUCGGUUAAUACCCGGUAGGAAAGACAUCACUCGCAGAAGAAGCACCGGCUAACUCCGUGCCAGCAGCCGCGGUAAUACGGAGGGUGCAAGCGUUAAUCGGAAUUACUGGGCGUAAAGCGCGCGUAGGUGGCUUGAUAAGCCGGUUGUGAAAGCCCCGGGCUCAACCUGGGAACGGCAUCCGGAACUGUCAGGCUAGAGUGCAGGAGAGGAAGGUAGAAUUCCCGGUGUAGCGGUGAAAUGCGUAGAGAUCGGGAGGAAUACCAGUGGCGAAGGCGGCCUUCUGGACUGACACUGACACUGAGGUGCGAAAGCGUGGGUAGCAAACAGGAUUAGAUCCUU